rnacentral:tRNA from 1 species
AUAUUGUUAGUAUAAUUAAUUAUAUUACUUUUCCAAAGUAAUGAUCUAAGAUGUUUAGACAAUGUA